rnacentral:rRNA from 1 species
UUAAAGUAGUAAGGGCGCAGGGUGGAUGCCUUGGCACUAAGAGCCGAUGAAAGACGUGAUAAGCUGCGAAAAGCUUCGGGGAGGAGCACAUAUCCAAUGAUCCGGAGAUAUCUGAAUGGGGAAACCCGGCAGAGGAAACCUCUGUCAGCGUGCAGUGAAUACAUAGCUGUACGUGGGGAACCCGGGGAACUGAAACAUCUAAGUACCCGGAGGAAGAGAAAGAAAAUUUAUCGAUUUCCAAAGUAGCGGCGAGCGAAAUGGAAAGAGCCCAAACCGUGAUGCGUGCAUCGCGGGGUUCGGACUGCGUUGUGGCAGACGUAAGAUAGGAGAACGGACUGGGAAGUCCGGCCGGAGAGAGUGAAAGCCUCGUAUCCGAAAUCCCAAGUCGCCUAGCAGGAUCCAGAGUAGGACGAGACACGAGAAACCUUGUCUGAACGAGCGGGGACCACCCCGUAAGGCUAAAUACUUCUUAGUGACCGAUAGCGCAUAGUACUGUGAAGGAAAGGUGAAAAGUACCCCGGGAGGGGAGUGAAAGAGAACCUGAAACCCUGUGUCUACAAGCUGUGGGACCUCUUUAUAUGAGGGACUGCGUACUUUUUGUAGAACGGUCCGGCGAGUUGUGCGUACUGGCGAGGUUAAGGACUUAAGGUCUGGAGCCGAAGUGAAAGCAAGCGUUAAUAGCGCGUCAAGUCAGUGAGUGCAGACCCGAAACCGGGUGACCUAUCCAUGUCCAGGUUGAAGCUUCCGUAAGAGGAAGUGGAGGACCGAACCCACAUCCGUUGAAAAGGGUGGGGAUGAGGUGUGGAUAGCGGAGAAAUUCCAAUCGAACCCGGAGAUAGCUGGUUCUCCUCGAAAUAGCUUUAGGGCUAGCCUCAUGAGAGUCUUAUGGAGGUAGAGCACUGAAUUGCCUAGGGGGCGUCAAAGCUUACCAAAGCAUAUCAAACUCCGAAUGCCAUCAAGAUGAUUCAUGGGAGUCAGACCAUACGAGAUAAGUUGGAUGGUCAAAAGGGAAAGAGCCCAGACCUACAGCUAAGGUCCCAAAGUGCGUGUUAAGUGGAAAAGGAUGUGGGGAUUCUAAGACAACUAGGACGUUGGCUUAGAAGCAGCCAUUCAUUGAAAGAGUGCGUAAUAGCUCACUAGUCGAGAGUCCCUGCGCCGAAAAUGUCCGGGGCUGAAACACGACACCGAAGCUUAGGAAUGUGUAAACAUUGGUAGAGGAGCAUUGCUAGCGGGAUGAAGCCAUACCGUAAGGAGUGGUGGACUGCUAGGAAGAGAGAAUGCCGGAAUGAGUAGCGAGAUGAAGGUGAGAAUCCUUCAGGCCGAAUAUCUAAGGUUUCCAGAGUAAAGCUGAUCUGCUCUGGGUAAGUCGGGACCUAAGGCGAGGUCGAAAGACGUAGUCGAUGGAUAACAGGUUGAAAUUCCUGUACCGCAUAUAAACAGAACUGUGGGGACACAGACAGGGAAUGGAAUCCGGGAGUGGAGAUCCCGGUGCAAGCGAGGUAGGAGUGCUGCUGGCAAAUCCGCAGCACGAUCUGAAGACGUGACGCGUACCGAACAUAAGUAGGGAAGUCCAGGCCCCUGGCUGUCAAGAAAAGCCGCUAUUGUUUUAUAUGUGCCCGUACCGCAAACCGACACAGGUGGAUGAGGAGAGAAUCCUAAGGCCGACGGGAGAAGUAUUGUUAAGGAACUCGGCAAAAUGACUCCGUAACUUCGGGAGAAGGAGUGCCAUGAGAGUGGCCGCAGAGAAAUGGCCCAAGCAACUGUUUAGCAAAAACACAGGUCUAUGCAAAACCGCAAGGUGAAGUAUAUGGGCUGACGCCUGCCCGGUGCUGGAAGGUUAAGGGGAGAGGUUAGCGCAAGCGAAGCUUUGAACUUAAGCCCCAGUAAACGGCGGCCGUAACUAUAACGGUCCUAAGGUAGCGAAAUUCCUUGUCGGGUAAGUUC